rnacentral:rRNA from 1 species
GACGAACGCUGGCGGCGUGCUUAACACAUGCAAGUCGAACGCUGAAGCUUGGUGCUUGCACUGGGUGGAUGAGUGGCGAACGGGUGAGUAAUACGUGAGUAACCUGCCCUUGACUCUGGGAUAAGCCUGGGAAACUGGGUCUAAUACUGGAUACGACAUGUCACCGCAUGGUGGUGUGUGGAAAGGGUUUUACUGGUUUUGGAUGGGCUCACGGCCUAUCAGCUUGUUGGUGGGGUAAUGGCUCACCAAGGCGACGACGGGUAGCCGGCCUGAGAGGGUGACCGGCCACACUGGGACUGAGACACGGCCCAGACUCCUACGGGAGGCAGCAGUGGGGAAUAUUGCACAAUGGGCGGAAGCCUGAUGCAGCGACGCCGCGUGAGGGAUGACGGCCUUCGGGUUGUAAACCUCUUUCAGCACGGAAGAAGCGAAAGUGACGGUACGUACAGAAGAAGCGCCGGCUAACUACGUG